AAGACUAUACUUUCAGGGAUCAUUUCUAUAGUUUGACUAGAGAAGUUUCUCUGAUCGUGUAGAGAGCACCUGAAGCCAUGAGCCAGAGCGUCCUCUCCUGAGCAUGAAGCCGGCUCUAGAUGUCGCUUGUGCAACUGCCUUUGACCAUCGAUGAUUCUCCCUUUCCUUUGUAGAGGGUAGAGGGAGAGGAUGCAGUCUGAGUGGU